rnacentral:rRNA from 1 species
UACAGAGGGGGCAAGCGUUAUUCGGAAUUAUUGGGCGUAAAGGGCGCGUAGGCGGCUUUGCAAGUGACGGGUGAAAGCCCUCGGCUUAACCGAGGAACUGCCUGUCAGACUGUAAGGCUUGAGCCCGGGAGAGGUGAGUGGAAUUCCCAGUGUAGCGGUGAAAUGCGUAGAUAUUGGGAGGAACACCAGUGGCGAAGGCGGCUCACUGGACCGGAACUGACGCUGAGACGCGAAAGCGUGGGGAGCGAACAGG